rnacentral:lncRNA from 1 species
GGAGAAAGAGAGUGUGAAAAUAUAAAUCUCUUUUGUGUUUGUUUGACAAUUCGUGUGACAUAAGUAAUAAGAAGCUGAACCAGCAAAAAGUUAACCAAUUUAGACCAAAACUACACUGCGGUUUAUAUUAAAACCGUUAAUACAUAUUUAAUAUACCAGAUUAUUCUAUUUCAGUAAAGUCGAAAAGGAGAUUUUAUGACGCGACGACAGCGGAGCUAUUGCGAUCACCGUCACUCACUCUCGUCGACGUUUUGGUGGAUGCCAGGUGAUUUCAUAAGCAAGAGAAGUUGAAACAGCGGGCUUUCGUGCAUUACAAAUCAUCGGCUCGGGUUACUUGAAGAAUCAGAGAAGAACCGAAGCAGUAUGUCAUAAGCGCCUCUAUCUCAACAAUCUACCAUGACAUUAUCAUCCAAUAGAGAGAUCGUAAUUAAGGGAACCAAGAGUUACAGAAACUAGUCAACUUCUUUCUUACAUCAGGUAACAACAACAUAUCCACAUACUAUUAUUUUCAUAUCACUUCUUCUUCUACAGUAUCCUUAUUAUUAAAACUGUCCCAUCUUGAAUCCAGAUUCAUAAACAAUCUAACUGGAUCUACUUGCUUGCCCUUAGCUGGACCAAGUAUCUUGACAAACCACUUCGGCUUGAAUGAAGCAAUAACGUGUGCCAUUACCAAUCCAAGUAACAGUCCAGGCCAAUACCCGAAAAACACUGCUUUCCACUCAAUCACUUCGUCCUCUUCUUCUUCUUCGUCUUCUUCCUUGGGAUAUUUUGUUGGUGGCGCAACGCAACUUCCUUGGAGAGGAAGACCACAGAGACCUACAUUCCCUUCAAAUGAUGAUUCAGCUUGCCCACUAAACUGUGGUCCCUGUGGUCUAGUGACUCGAGCUCCGUAACAUUUGCCAAAGACAUAGGAAUAUGGCCAGUGAAGGCGUUGUUCGAUAAGUUGAGCGCUAUCAAUUCCUUCAACAGACCAAUAGACUCAGGAAUCUGUCCUUCAAGUUUGUUUCCAGAGAAAUCAAUGGUGCUGUAGAAACUCGGGAAACGCGAGAGGACCUCGAUCAGGAGGAGAGAGAUGGCCGAAGAAUCUGUUUGAACGGAGAGUCAAGACAUGCAAAUUGGGUAGCGCCUUCAGCCAGAAAGGAAACGUGUCUUCAAUUCUGUUGUUGUCAACACUCAGAAACCUCAGAGAGGAGCAAUUCAAAAGUGAUUUUGGAAGCUUCCCGGUUAGUCGAUUAUAGCCAACGUCAAGCGUCUGUGUCUUAGCACCGCUAUGGAACUCGUCAGGUAUACUUCCUUCCAAGCUGUUCUUCCUGAGGUUUACUACUUUUAAGUUACUCAGACAUUGAGGAAUUGGACCGGUGAAUUUGUUGUAGGAUAGAUCAAGGACGAUGAGAGAGCUUCGGUUGCAGAUUGAGAGAGGUAUGUUCCCUGUGAAACUAUUGUUCCACGCAGACAAGUAGAUCGAACCGAGUGGUGGAGUAGGAAACGCUCCUGUCAUGGAGUUAUAGGCAAAAUCUAGUAACUGCACUGAUGAGUUAAGUAAAACUUCUGAAGAACCUUCGAAACCAGUCAAAGAAUUGUUAACAAGAUUUGCUAUGCUAAGACGAGGAAGCUUCCAAAACCACUCAGGUACUUUCCCUUUGAUUAGAUUGUUGGAAAUGUCUAUAUGCUCCAAGUUUUGAAGGGUCUUAAAGAUGUUUGGAAACUCGAUAAUGUCGCACUGGAUCAAAAUCAAGCUUAUUAAGCUCAAUGGAAACUCUGAAUCUGAACUUAAACUGGCUGGUAAUAACCUAUUUUGACGAAUAUCAAAGACCAACAAAGAUUUGAGAGGAGCGAAGACGCGUAAGUCAAUUGGGUGACUUAUGUUUAGGGAAGCAAGUUCAAGAUGGUUGAGGUUUAUGAGCUUUGAGAUAGGCUCUAUGAUUUUUCCUUCAAAUUGGUUAAACCCAAGGGACAAACGAACUAGCUUAGAUGAAGAAGAAGAGUUUGGGACAUCAAUAGAACCAGUGAGAUGAUUCUUUUUCAGAUCAAGAUAAGACAAGAAAGGCAAAGUGGGUAGUAAAUCAAAAGGUAUGGCUCCUGAGAAUUGAUUGUAAGAAAGGUCUAAAAAGGAAAGCUUUGUUAGGUUUCUUACAGGUGGGAAACUACCAGUGAGCUCAUUAUGGGAAAGGUUUAAAUGGGUAAGCAAGAUAAGGUUACUAAUUGAGGAAGGAACUUGACCAGUAAAGCUACUAGAGGCAAGAGACAAAACCUCUAAUCUGGUGAGAUUGCUGAAUUCAGAAGGGAGUGAAGAGGAAGUGAAGUUGUUGUGAGAGAGAUUAAGGUAACGAAGCUGAUGCAACUCAAAGAGACUACUGUUUGGUUUGAGAGUUCCAGUGAAGCAACCACUUGGGAGCUGAAGCUUCGUGACCGCACCAGUCGUGUUAUCACACUGGACUCCGUUUAAGUAGUCACUGCGGUUGCAGCCGUCAGAUUCAAACUCAUUCUUGAAUUGGAUUAGAGCUUGGAUCUGGUCAGGAAGACAAGCAAGAGCGUCGGUCGUCAAGAAGCUUGAAACGAAGACGAUACAGUAGAGUAAGAGUAGCGAGCAAAAAUGCAAACGCAUGGUGUUUGUGAUUGAACCAACAAGUUGAGGAAAUUAUUGAACCCAAAAAAAGACAUAUCAAAGAUUUGCUAUAUAUAUGUUAUUUUAAGCCGCCUUUACUAAAUAUGUGGGGUUUAAAUGUCACGUGAAAUGUCUACGAGUCACAUUUGUUCAUGAAGUAAAUUCCACGUGGACAUCUCUGACUAUAUAACUG